rnacentral:tRNA from 1 species
GACUUCGUGGACAACCGGUUCCGCACCUACCAGCCCGACGAGCUGGUGCGGCUCGCACUGUCCAAGCCGGCCCGGUUCGAGCCGGGCCAGGGUUG